rnacentral:misc_RNA from 1 species
AAUCUAUAACAAGCUCGGAGCAUACAAUAUGCACGCUCCAUCGUUCUUGUAGAAAUAAUCACUAUAAUUAUGCAUUAGAUUUGGAAAUUACACACUUAAGAUUAUGAAAUCAAUUCGUAAAUAGGAAUAUUUGUUGUAUGCAUUGUUGUGAAAACCAAAAUGGACUGGCUAGUUCAAUCGAGAACCGGAUAGUGAUUGGUCCUGUUUUGACAGAAAACUUUUUUCUAUGAAACGAGGUUGAGCCCACUCGAUUGACCAAGCCAGGUAACCCG